rnacentral:lncRNA from 1 species
GGUUCGCGAUCCUCCUCUCUGGCUCCGGGCUGCGCACAGUGUCUGGGUGGCGAGCGAAUGGUGCCUGCGAUCUUCUGCCUCGGGGACCCGGCUGUCUUCCUUGUGCUAAAAAAACCGAGGAGGUCUGUCUGCCACGGGGCCGAGGGUGGUGUCCCCUCUCCUUGAGUGACUCUGGUUCCUCCUUUGGAUCUCAGCUCAUAGCUCCUGACCUCAAGCAAGUGCUACUGAAGUGGAAAUGUCUUAAAUCCUGUUUUGUGAUUUCCCCGCCUCAGAGCU